rnacentral:rRNA from 1 species
UUCGGACCUAGCGGCGGACGGGUGAGUAAUGCGUAGGAAGCUGCCCGAUAGAGGGGGAUACCAGUUGGAAACGACUGUUAAUACCGCAUAAUGUCUACGGACCAAAGUGUGGGACCUUCGGGCCACAUGCUAUCGGAUGCGCCUACGUGGGAUUAGCUAGUUGGUGAGGUAAUGGCUCACCAAGGCGACGAUCUCUAGCUGGUUUGAGAGGAUGAUCAGCCACACUGGAACUGAGACACGGUCCAGACUCCUACGGGAGGCAGCAGUGGGGAAUAUUGGACAAUGGGCGCAAGCCUGAUCCAGCCAUGCCGCGUGUGUGAAGAAGGCCUUCGGGUUGUAAAGCACUUUCAGCGAGGAGGAAGGGUGGUGUGUUAAUAGCACAUCAUUUUGACGUUACUCGCAGAAGAAGCACCGGCUAACUCUGUGCCAGCAGCCGCGGUAAUACAGAGGGUGCAAGCGUUAAUCGGAAUUACUGGGCGUAAAGCGCACGUAGGCGGUUGGUUAAGUUGGAUGUGAAAGCCCCGGGCUCAACCUGGGAAUUGCAUUCAAAACUGGCCAACUAGAAUACGGGAGAGGGGGGUAGAAUUCCAAGUGUAGCGGUGAAAUGCGUAGAGAUUUGGAGGAAUACCAGUGGCGAAGGCGGCCCCCUGGCCCGAUAUUGACGCUGAGGUGCGAAAGCGUG